UUCUGAAAUAAGUUUGAAAGGAUAUAUGGC
rnacentral:piRNA from 1 species